GACGAACGCUGGCGGCGUGCUUAACACAUGCAAGUCGAACGAAGAGCGAUGGAAGCUUGCUUCUAUCAAUCUUAGUGGCGCACGGGUGAGUAACGCGUAAUCAACCUGCCCUUCAGAGGGGGACAACAGUUGGAAACGACUGCUAAUACCGCAUACGAUCUGACCUCGGCAUCGAGGAUAGAUGAAAGGUGGCCUCUACAUGUAAGCUAUCACUGAAGGAGGGGAUUGCGUCUGAUUAGCUAGUUGGAGGGGUAACGGCCCACCAAGGCGAUGAUCAGUAGCCGGUCUGAGAGGAUGAACGGCCACAUUGGGACUGAGACACGGCCCAGACUCCUACGGGAGGCAGCAGUGGGGAAUCUUCCGCAAUGGACGAAAGUCUGACGGAGCAACGCCGCGUGAGUGAUGACGGCCUUCGGGUUGUAAAGCUCUGUUAAUCGGGACGAAAGGCCUGUUUGCGAAUAGUGAGAAGGAUUGACGGUACCGGAAUAGAAAGCCACGGCUAACUACGUG
rnacentral:rRNA from 1 species